rnacentral:tmRNA from 1 species
GGGGAUGUUUUGGAUUUGACAAGAUGUUCGGUUUAAUCAGAUUGCGUGUUCGGGAGCUGUUCCCGAUUAUCAACGAGCAAAACAAAUUAAAUGCUACAGAUAACGUUGUAGUUGCUGAUUUCUCUAGAGCUGCUGCUCGUAGAGCUGCGUAGAGCUUAGCUCCGCAUUCAGCCUCUCAUAGUAUUCCAACUUGCCGAUGCUAUGGGACAAUUAUGCAAGUUGCAGUAUGAUGAUAGUAGUAGUCAUAUCAAGUUUACUACCGAAGGUUAGCUUUCCGUAAAAAAGCUUUGAUUAAGGUUCAGGUUUAGUGAGUUUCCUGCCUUGAUUAAGAUUAAUAAUUCGCUACACACGUAGAGAUUUGCUUAGAUCCAUUUUGGACGUGGGUUCGAUUCCCACCAUCUCCA